UAUUAAAGGUUUAAAGAUGUACAGCCUAUCAAAGAAAGAGAUCAUUGAGCCUAUUUAGCCGGGCUGGGAAUCGCAAGAAUCGAGAAGUCCUCCAUUGAAUUUUUUGGGGUGGGAAAAACAGGUUCGGAAAUGGCCGGAUUAGCAUGAGGUUUUUAU